UACGUAGGGUGCAAGCGUUAUCCGGAAUUAUUGGGACGUAAGAGCUCGUAGGCGGUUUGUCGCGUCAUGCCGGUGAAAGUCCGGGGCUCAACUCCGGAUCUGCGGUGGGUACGGGCAGACUAGAGUGCAGUAGGGGAGAACUGGAAUUCCUGGUGGUAGCGGUGAAAUGCGCAGAUAUCAGGAGGAACACCGGUGGUGUAAA
rnacentral:rRNA from 1 species